GUAGGUGGCAAGCGUUGUCCGGAAUUAUUGGGCGUAAAGCGCGCGCGGGCGGUUCUUUAAGUCUGAUGUGAAAGCCCACGGCUCAACCGUGGAGGGUCAUUGGAAACUGGAGAACUUGAGUGCAGAAGAGGAAAGCGGAAUUCCACGUGUAGCGGUGAAAUGCGUAGAGAUGUGGAGGAACACCAGUGGCGAAGGCGGCUUUCUGGUCUGUAACUGACGCUGAGGCGCGAAAGCGUGGGGAGCAAACAGGAUUAGAUACCCUGGUAGUCCACGCCGUAAACGAUGAGUGCUAAGUGUUAGGGGGUCUCCGCCCCUUAGUGCUGCAGCUAACGCAUUAAGCACUCCGCCUGGGAGUACGGCCGCAAGGCUG
rnacentral:rRNA from 1 species